rnacentral:rRNA from 1 species
CACGUAGGGUGCGAGCGUUGUCCGGAAUUACUGGGCGUAAAGGGCUCGUAGGCGGCCAACUAAGUCGGAUGUGAAAUCCCCAAGCUUAACUUGGGAACUGCAUCCGAUACUGGAUGGCUUGAAUCCGGGAGAGGGAUGCAGAAUUCCAGGUGUAGCGGUGAAAUGCGUAGAUAUCUGGAGGAAUACCGGUGGCGAAGGCGGCAUCCUGGACCGGCAUUGACGCUGAGGAGCGAAAGCUAGGGGAGCAAACGGG